UGGGGAAUAUUGGGCAAUGGAGGCAACUCUGACCCAGCAACGCCGCGUGAAUGAUGAAGGUCUUCGGAUUGUAAAGUUCUGCGAUGGGGGACGAAGAAAGUGACGGUACCCCAAUAGCAAGCUACGGCUAACUACGUGCCAGCAGCCGCGGUAAUACGUAAGUAGCAAGCGUUGUCCGGAAUGACUGGGCGUAAAGGGUGCGUAGGUGGUUUAACAAGUUGGUAGUGAAAUUCCGAGGCUUAACUUCGGCGCUACUGCCAAGACUGUUGAACUUGAGUACAGGAGAGGUAAGUGGAAUUCCUAGUGUAGCGGUGGAAUGCGUAGAUAUUAGGAGGAACACCAGUGGCGAAGGCGACUUACUGGCCUGCAACUGACACUGAGGCACGAAAGCGUGGGGAGCAAACAGGAUUAGAUACCCUGGUAGU
rnacentral:rRNA from 1 species